ACUGGUGGUCAGGUAGAGAAUACCAAAGCGAUCGAGCGAAUCCUGGUCAAGGAACUCGGCAAAUCACUCCCGUUCCUUCGGUUUAAGGGAGACCCCCGAUGGUGAACACACUUGCUGUGGGAGCUUUUGGGGGUGGCACAGACCAGGGGGUAGCGACUGUUUACCAAAAACACAGGUGCAUGCGAAGGCGCUAGCCGCUGUAUAUGCACUGACGCCUGCCCGGUGCCGGAAGGUUAAGAGGAUCCGUCAGCCUUCGGGUGAAGCGGUGAAUUCAAGCCCCGGUAAACGGCGGUGGUAACGAUAACCAUCCUAAGGUAGCGAAAUUCCUUGUCGGGUAAGUUCCGACCUGCACGAAUGGCGUAACGACUUCCCCACUGUCUCGACCAGGAGCUCGGCGAAAUUGCAGUACGAGUAAAGAUGCUCGUUAAGCGCAGAAGGACGAAAAGACCCCGGGACCUUUACUAUACCUUGGUAUUGGCAUUCGGUGUGGAUUGUGUAGCAUAGGCGGGAGGCCGAGAGGCGCGGUCGCCAGAUCGCGCGGAGCCGUAAGGUGAAAUACCGCUCUGUUCGCAUUGGAUGUCUAACCUCGAACAGUCAUCCUGUUCAGGGACAGUGCCUGGCGGGUAGUUUAACUGGGGCGGUUGCCUCCCAAAGAGUAACGGAGGCGCCCAAAGGUCCGCUCAGCCCGGUUGGCAAUCGGGUGGCGAGUGCAAGUGCACAAGCGGGCUUGACUGCGAGGACGACGGUCCGAGCAGGGACGAAAGUCGGGACUAGUGAUCCGGUGCCGGUGUACGGACGCGGCAUCGCUCAACGGAUAAAAGGUACCCCGGGGAUAACAGGCUGAUCAUUCCCAAGAGUCCAUAUCGACGGGAUGGUUUGGCACCUCGAUGUCGGCUCGUCGCAUCCUGGGGCUGGAGCAGGUCCCAAGGGUUCGGCUGUUCGCCGAUUAAAGCGGCACGCGAGCUGGGUUCAGAACGUCGUGAGACAGUUUGGUCUCUAUCCUCUGCGCUCGUUGGAAUGCUGAGGAGGCCUGCCCAUAGUACGAGAGGACCUGGGUGGACGAACCUCUGGUAUGCCAGUUGUCACGCCAGUGGCACGGCCGGUUGGCUACGUUCGGAAGGGAUAACCGCUGAAAGCAUCUAAGCGGGAAGCCUGCUCCAAGAUAAGCAUUCCGUGGAACCUUCGAGUUCCUGUAGUCCCCAUGCAGAACACGUGGUCGAUAGGCCGGACGUGGAAGCCCCGCGAGGGGUGGAGCCGACCGGUACUAACGGACGAAAGGCAU
rnacentral:rRNA from 1 species